CUGGCAGUGUGCUAACACAUGCAGUCGAGAGGGGUUAAGCCCUCGGCAAACGGGUGCGUCACACGUCUAUGUCUGCUUCGAAGCCUCGGAUCACCCUCCGAAAGGAGGAAUCAUCCGAGUAUCGUCCCUACGGGGUCAAGAUUUAUCGCUUCGAAAGGAGUCUGCGGCCUAUCAGCUAGUUGGUGGGGUAAAAGCCUACCAAGGCAACGACGGGUAGCUGGUCUAAGAGGAUGAUCAGCCACAGGGGAACUGAGACACGGUCCCCACUCCUACGGGAGGCAGCAGUUGGGAAUUUUGCGCAAUGGGCGAAAGCCUGACGCAGCGACACUGCGUGGAGGAAGACGGCCUUCGGGUUGUAAACUCCUUUUGCUUGGGAGAAUUAUGAUAGUACCAAGCGAAUAAGUACCGGCUAACUACGUGCCAGAAGCCUCGGUGAAACGUAGGGUACAAGCGUUAUCCGGAGUUAUUGGGCGUAAAGCGUGUCCAGGUGGUUUUAAAAGUUUCCUGUUAAAUGCUGGGGCUCAACUCCAGUUUCGCAGGAAAGACUUUAAAACUUGAGGUUAGUAGAGGUAUAUGGAACUCUCAGUGUAGGAGUGAAAUCCGUUGAUAUUGAGAGGAACACCAAUGGCGAAGGCAGUAUACUAGACUAUACCUGACACUCACACACGAAAGCGUGGGUAGCGAAAAGGAUUAGAUACCCUUGUAGUCCACGCCGUAAACGAUGCAUACUAGUUAUUGGGAGAAUCGACCCUCCUUGUAGCGAAGCUAACGCGUUAAGUAUGCCGCCUGGGAAGUACGGUCGCAAGACUAAGACUCAAAGGAAUUGACGGGGGCUUGCACAAGCGGUGGAGCAUGUGGUUUAAUUCGACGAUAAGCGAAGAACCUUACCAAGACUUGACAUUCUGAUCGUAUCGUAUAGAAAUAUAUGAGUCAGUUCGGCUGGAUCAGUAACAGGUGCUGCACGGUUGUCGUCAGCUCGUGUCGUGAGAUGUUCCGUUAAGUCGGCUAACGAGCGAAACCCUUAUCGCCAGUUGUAUUUUUCUGGCGAGACUGCCUAGGUUAACUGGGAGGAAGGCGGGGACGACGUCAAAUCAGCGUGGCUCUUACGUCUUGGGCCACACACGUGCUACAAUGGCGACUACAAAGGGUUGCAAGAUCGCAAGAUGGAGCUAAUCCCUAAAAGUCGUCUCAGUUCGGAUUGAGGGCUGAAACUCGCCCUCAUGAAGCUGGAAUCGCUAGUAAUCGUGGGUCAGCUAUACCACGGUGAAUACGUUCUCAAGCCUUGUACACACCGCCCGUCAAGCGAGCCGAGUCAGUAAUACCCGAAGCUCCACACUUUGUACGCAAGUAGAUAUCUACUAGUGCAUAAAGUGUGGGUACGUAGACU
rnacentral:rRNA from 1 species